AUUGAACGCUGGCGGCAUGCCUAACACAUGCAAGUCGAGCGGAGCGGCGGACGGGUGGAUAAUACCUAGGAAGCUGCCCGUUAGUGGCGGAUAACGCCCGGAAACGGACGCUAAGACAACAUACUAGCAGAUUGGUCUAGGGCGGCUUAGCUAGUUGGUAAGGUAAUGGCUCACCAAGGCGACGAUGCGUAACUGGUCUGAGAGGCUGAUCAGUCACACUGGAACUAAGACACGGUCCAGACUCCUACGGGAGUCAGCAGUGGGGAAUAUUGAGCAAUGGGCGAAAGCCUGAUCCAGCCAUGCCGCGUGUGUGAAGAAGGUUUUCGGAUUGUAAAACACUUUGAGUUGGGAAGCGUUACCGAAAGAAUAAGCCCCGGCUAACUCUGUGCCAGCAGCCGCGGGAAUUC
rnacentral:rRNA from 1 species